rnacentral:rRNA from 1 species
GACGAACGCUGGCGGCGUGCUUAACACAUGCAAGUCGAACGAAGAGCGAUGGAAGCUUGCUUCUAUCAAUCUUAGUGGCGAACGGGUGAGUAACGCGUAAUCAACCUGCCCUUCAGAGGGGGACAACAGUUGGAAACGACUGCUAAUACCGCAUACGAUCUGACCUCGGCAUCGAGGAUAGAUGAAAGGUGGCCUCUAUUUAUAAGCUAUCACUGAAGGAGGGGAUUGCGUCUGAUUAGCUAGUUGGAGGGGUAACGGCCCACCAAGGCGAUGAUCAGUAGCCGGUCUGAGAGGAUGAACGGCCACAUUGGGACUGAGACACGGCCCAGGCUCCUACGGGAGGCAGCAGUGGGGAAUCUUCCGCAAUGGACGAAAGUCUGACGGAGCAACGCCGCGUGAGUGAUGACGGCCUUCGGGUUGUAAAGCUCUGUUAAUCGGGACGAAAGGCCUUCUUGCGAAUAGUUAGAAGG